AUUGAACGCUGGCGGCAGGCCUAACACAUGCAAGUCGAACGGUAACAGGAAGAAGCUUGCUUCUUUGCUGACGAGUGGCGGACGGGUGAGUAAUGUCUGGGAAACUGCCUGAUGGAGGGGGAUAACUACUGGAAACGGUAGCUAAUACCGCAUAACGUCGCAAGACCAAAAAGCGGGACCUUCGGGCCUCUUGCCAUCGGCUGUGCCCAGAUGGGAUUAGCUAGUAGGUGGGGUAACGGCUCACCUAGGCGACGAUCCCUAGCUGGUCUGAGAGGAUGACCAGCCACACUGGAACUGAGACACGGUCCAGACUCCUACGGGAGGCAGCAGUGGGGAAUAUUGCACAAAGGGCGCAAGCCUGAUGCAGCCAUGCCGCGUGUAUGAAGAAGGCCUUCGGGUUGUAAAGUACUUUCAGCGGGGAGGAAGGGAGUAAAGUUAAUACCUGCGCUCAUUGACGUUACCCACAGAAAAAGCACCGGCUAACUCCGUG
rnacentral:rRNA from 1 species